UGCCCUACGGGAGGCUGCAGUCGGGAAUUUUGGGCAAUGGGCGAAAGCCUGACCCAGCAACGCCGCGUGAAGGAUGAAGUAUUUCGGUAUGUAAACUUCGAAAGAAUAGGAAGAAUUAAUGACGGUACUAUUUAUAAGGUCCGGCUAACUACGUGCCAGCAGCCGCGGUAAUACGUAGGGACCAAGCGUUGUUCGGAUUUACUGGGCGUAAAGGGCGCGUAGGCGGCAAUUCAAGUCAGCUGUGAAAUCUCUGGGCUUAACCCGGAACGGCCAGCUGAUACUGCUUUGCUAGAGUGCGGAAGGGGCAAUCGGAAUUCUUAGUGUAGCGGUGAAAUGCGUAGAUAUCAAGAGGAACACCUGAGGUGAAGACGGGUUGCUGGGCCGACACUGACGCUGAGGCGCGAAAGCCAGGGGAGCAAACGGGAUUAGAUACCCGGGUAGUCAU
rnacentral:rRNA from 1 species